CGGCGUCCCCGCGCCGCCUCGCCAUGGCGGGGAGCAGCUCGCUGGAGGCGGUGCGCAGGAAGAUCCGCAGCCUGCAGGAGCAGGCGGACGCGGCGGAGGAGCGCGCGGGCAGCCUGCAGCGCGAGCUGGACCAGGAGAGGAAGCUGCGGGAGACCGCUGAAGCUGAUGUAGCUUCUCUGAACAGACGCAUCCAACUGGUUGAGGAGGAGCUGGAUCGUGCUCAGGAGCGGCUGGCCACAGCUUUGCAGAAGCUGGAGGAGGCUGAGAAGGCAGCAGAUGAGAGCAAGAGAGGCAUGAAAGUCAUUGAAAGCCGAGCCCAGAAGGAUGAAGAAAAGAUGGAAAUUCAGGAGAUCCAACUGAAAGAGGCCAAGCACAUUGCUGAAGAUGCCGACCGCAAGUAUGAAGAGGUGGCCCGCAAGCUGGUCAUCAUCGAGAGUGACCUGGAACGUGCAGAGGAGAGGGCCGAGCUCUCAGAAGGCCAAGUUCGACAGCUGGAAGAACAAUUAAGAAUAAUGGAUCAGACCUUGAAAGCAUUAAUGGCUGCAGAGGAUAAGUACUCGCAGAAGGAAGAUAAAUAUGAGGAGGAGAUCAAGGUUCUUUCUGACAAGCUGAAGGAGGCUGAGACUCGGGCUGAGUUUGCAGAGAGGUCAGUCACUAAGCUGGAGAAAAGCAUUGACGACUUAGAAGAGAAAGUGGCUCAUGCCAAGGAAGAAAACCUUAGCAUGCACCAGAUGCUGGAUCAGACUUUACUGGAGCUAAACAACAUGUGAAAAUCUCCUUAGCUGCGGCCACAUUCUUUCGUUUGGUUUUGUUAUUCUGUUUCAUUUUUUGUUGUUGUU